rnacentral:rRNA from 1 species
GAACUGAAGAGUUUGAUCAUGGCUCAGAUUGAACGCUGGCGGCAGGCCUAACACAUGCAAGUCGAGCGGAUGAAGGGAGCUUGCUCCUGGAUUCAGCGGCGGACGGGUGAGUAAUGCCUAGGAAUCUGCCUGGUAGUGGGGGAUAACGUCCGGAAACGGGCGCUAAUACCGCAUACGUCCUGAGGGAGAAAGUGGGGGAUCUUCGGACCUCACGCUAUCAGAUGAGCCUAGGUCGGAUUAGCUAGUUGGUGGGGUAAAGGCCUACCAAGGCGACGAUCCGUAACUGGUCUGAGAGGAUGAUCAGUCACACUGGAACUGAGACACGGUCCAGACUCCUACGGGAGGCAGCAGUGGGGAAUAUUGGACAAUGGGCGAAAGCCUGAUCCAGCCAUGCCGCGUGUGUGAAGAAGGUCUUCGGAUUGUAAAGCACUUUAAGUUGGGAGGAAGGGCAGUAAGUUAAUACCUUGCUGUUUUGACGUUACCAACAGAAUAAGCACCGGCUAACUUCGUGCCAGCAGCCGCGGUAAUACGAAGGGUGCAAGCGUUAAUCGGAAUUACUGGGCGUAAAGCGCGCGUAGGUGGUUCAGCAAGUUGGAU